UGAGCGCGGCUGCCGAGUCCGUGCGUUCACGGAGCCGGGGACCCAAUCUUCUGGGGUGAAUCGCGGCCCAUUCCACAUGGCGUCGCGUAGGGCACUUCCACGCCCGAACCCGUCAGCUAACCCGGUAGGCGGCAUGGAAGCUAGGA
rnacentral:sRNA from 1 species